rnacentral:rRNA from 1 species
AUUGAACGCUGGCGGCAGGCCUAACACAUGCAAGUCGAACGGUAGCACAGAGAGCUUGCUCUCGGGUGACGAGUGGCGGACGGGUGAGUAAUGUCUGGGAAACUGCCUGAUGGAGGGGGAUAACUACUGGAAACGGUAGCUAAUACCGCAUAACGUCGCAAGACCAAAGAGGGGGACCUUCGGGCCUCUUGCCAUCAGAUGUGCCCAGAUGGGAUUAGCUAGUAGGUGGGGUAACGGCUCACCUAGGCGACGAUCCCUAGCUGGUCUGAGAGGCUGACCAGCCACACUGGAACUGAGACACGGUCCAGACUCCUACGGGAGGCAGCAGUGGGGAAUAUUGCACAAUGGGCGCAAACCUGGUGCAGCCAUGCCGCGUGUAUGAAGAAGGCCUUCGGGUUGUAAAGUACUUUCAGCGGGGAGGAAGGUGCUGAGGUUAAUAACCUCAGCAAUUGACGUUACCCGCAGAAGAAGCACCGGCUAACUCCGUG